CCCUUAGAUGUUCUGGGCCGCACGCGCGCUACACUGAUGCAUUCAACGAGUCUAAAACCUGGUCUGAUAGGGCUGGGUAAUCUUUUGAAUGUGCAUCGUGAUUGGGGUAGAUGAUUGCAAUUCUUCAUCUUCAACGAGGAAUGCCUAGUAAACGCAAGUCAUCAGCUUGCAUUGAUUACGUCCCUGCCCUUUGUACACACCGCCCGUCGCUCCUACCGAUUGAAUGUUCCGAUGAAUACCAUGGACUGAGAGUAUGAAUGGGUUCGCCUAUUUCUGCUUCUCGGGAAGUGGAGUAAAUCUUAACAUUUAGAGGAAGGAGAAGUCGUAACA
rnacentral:rRNA from 1 species